UACGAGGGGGGCAAAUGUUGUUCGGAAUCACUGGGCGUAAAGGGAGCGUAGGCGGGUUUUUAAGUCAGGUGUUUAAUCCCGGGGCCCAACCCCGGACAGGCACUUGAAACUGGGAAUCUUGAAUAGUGGAGAGGUCAGUGGAAUUGGGGGUGUAGCGGUGGAAUGCGUAGAUAUCGGGAGGAACACCAGUGGCGAAGGCGACUUCCUGGCCUGUUCUUGACGCUGAGGCGCGAAAGCUAGGGGGAGCAAAACGGGG
rnacentral:rRNA from 1 species